rnacentral:misc_RNA from 1 species
AAACUGCGAUAAGUAGUGUGAAUUGCAUUUAGUGAAUCAUCGAAUCUUUGAACACACCCUGCACUCACUGGUAUUCCGGUGAGUACGCCUGUUUCAGUAUCAUUGAAAACACACAAUCAAAACAUUUUCUUUGGUUUGAUUGGCUUUGGGUCUAUCAAAAAGUUUGGCUUGUUUCUUACAAGCCAAGCGGCCUGAAAUAUAUUGUCUGGCUAAUUGCAUCGUUGAUGAUCGCUAUUAGACUUUGGCUUUUUUAAAUGAACUGGAGGUUGAUUAACCAGUUUUAGCUUUAGUCAAAUGGUCAUUGUAAAAAAAAUCUCGAUCUUGGCUAGGUGUUUAUAGCCGAAAAUUUUUUUUUGGCUAUAACCGAAACCAAUAUAAUCACAUUUAGUUAUCGAUCUGAAAUCAGGUGGGACUACCCGCUGAACUUAAGC